rnacentral:rRNA from 1 species
CCAGUGGAAUAGUUCAACGGCCGCGGUACCCUAACCGUGCAAAGGUAGCGUAAUCACUUGUCUAUUAAUUGUAGACCUGUAUGAAAGGCAUAAUGAGGGUCUAACUGUCUCUUUUAGUAAGUCAAUUAAACUGAUCUCCCAGUCCAAAAGCUGGGAUACUAACAUAAGACCAGAAGACCCUGUGAAACUUUAACUAAACUAUUAAACCACAUAAUAACUACUUUAGGUUGGGGCGACCUUGGAAAAAAAAAGAACUUCCAAACACAUAUUACAUAAUAAUAUAAUACAAGGCCAACAAGCCCAUUACGACCCAGCACAGCUGAUAAAUGAACCAAGCUACUCCAGGGAUAACAGCGCUAUCUUCUUCAAGAGCCCAUAUCAAAAAGAAGGUUUACGACCUCGAUGUUGGAUCAGGACAUCCUAAUGGUGCAACCGCUAUUAAGGGUUCGUUUGUUCAACGAUUAACA